rnacentral:rRNA from 1 species
AACGAACGCUGGCGGCAUGCCUAACACAUGCAAGUCGAACGAGACCUUCGGGUCUAGUGGCGCACGGGUGCGUAACGCGUGGGACCCUGCCCUUAGGUUCGGAAUAACUCCCCGAAAGGGGUGCUAAUACCGGAUAAUGUCUUCGGACCAAAGAUUUAUCGCCUUUGGAUGGGCCCGCGUUGGAUUAGCUAGUUGGUAGGGUAAAAGCCUACCAAGGCGACGAUCCAUAGCUGGUCUGAGAGGAUGAUCAGCCACACUGGGACUGAGACACGGCCCAGACUCCUACGGGAGGCAGCAGUGGGGAAUAUUGGACAAUGGGCGAAAGCCUGAUCCAGCAAUGCCGCGUGAGUGAUGAAGGCCUUAGGGUAGUAAAGCUCUUUUACCCGGGAUGAUAAUGACAGUACCGGGAGAAUAAGCACCGGCUAACUCCGUG